rnacentral:rRNA from 1 species
UACGUAGGGAGCAAGCGUUGUUCGGAUUUACUGGGCGUAAAGGGCGCGUAGGCGGCAAAUUAAGUCAGCUGUGAAAUCUCCGAGCUUAACUCGGAACUGUCAGCUGAUACUGAUCUGCUAGAGUUCGGUAGGGGAGAUCGGAAUUCCUGGUGUAGCGGUGAAAUGCGCAGAUAUCAGGAGGAACACCGGUGGCGAAGGCGGAUCUCUGGGCCGAUACUGACGCUGAGGAGCGAAAGCGUGGGGAGCGAACAGG